rnacentral:rRNA from 1 species
GGUUGAUCCUGCCAGUAGUCAUAUGCUUGUCUCAAAGAUUAAGCCAUGCAUGUCUAAGUAUAAGCGUUUAUACAGUGAAACUGCGAAUGGCUCAUUAUAUCAGUUAUCAUUUACUUGAUGAUACCUUACCACUUGGAUAACCGUGGUAAUUCUAGAGCUAAUACAUGCCUCGAAGGCCGCCUUUUUGGCGGCCUGCAUUUAUUAGAUACAAACCAAUGCCAGCAAUGGCUCCUGGUGAUUCAUAAUAACUUGGCGGAUCGCAUGACCUUGCGUCGGCGACGUAUCAAUCAAA